rnacentral:rRNA from 1 species
GACGAACGCUGGCGGCGUGCCUAAUACAUGCAAGUAGAACGCUGAAGAGAGGAGCUUGCUCUUCUUGGAUGAGUUGCGAACGGGUGAGUAACGCGUAGGUAACCUGCCUUGUAGCGGGGGAUAACUAUUGGAAACGAUAGCUAAUACCGCAUAACAAUGGAUGACACAUGUCAUUUAUUUGAAAGGGGCAAUUGCUCCACUACAAGAUGGACCUGCGUUGUAUUAGCUAGUAGGUGAGGUAAUGGCUCACCUAGGCGACGAUACAUAGCCGACCUGAGAGGGUGAUCGGCCACACUGGGACUGAGACACGGCCAAGACUCCUACGGGAGGCAGCAGUAGGGAAUCUUCGGCAAUGGGGGCAACCCUGACCGAGCAACGCCGCGUGAGUGAAGAAGGUUUUCGGAUCGUAAAGCUCUGUUGUAAGUCAAGAACGGGUGUGAGAGUGGAAAGUUCACACUGUGACGGUAGCUUACCAGAAAGGGACGGCUAACUACGUG